AGAGUUUGAUCCUGGCUCAGAUUGAACGCUGGCGGCAUGCCUUACACAUGCAAGUCGAACGGCAGCACGGGAGCAAUCCUGGUGGCGAGUGGCGAACGGGUGAGUAAUAUAUCGGAACGUGCCCAGUCGUGGGGGAUAACGCAGCGAAAGCUGUGCUAAUACCGCAUACGAUCUAUGGAUGAAAGCGGGGGAUCGCAAGACCUCGCGCGAUUGGAGCGGCCGAUAUCAGAUUAGGUAGUUGGUGGGGUAAAGGCCCACCAAGCCGACGAUCUGUAGCUGGUCUGAGAGGACGACCAGCCACACUGGAACUGAGACACGGUCCAGACUCCUACGGGAGGCAGCAGUGGGGAAUUUUGGACAAUGGGCGCAAGCCUGAUCCAGCAAUGCCGCGUGCAGGAUGAAGGCCUUCGGG
rnacentral:rRNA from 1 species